rnacentral:miRNA from 1 species
GUGUGUGUGUGUGUGUGUGUGUGUGUAUGUGUGUAUGUAUGUGUGUGUAUAUACACACACACACACACACACACACACAG